rnacentral:rRNA from 1 species
UACGUAGGGGGCUAGCGUUGUCCGGAAUCAUUGGGCGUAAAGAGCGUGUAGGCGGUCCGGUAAGUCCGCUGUGAAAGUCGGGGGCUCAACCCUCGAAUGCCGGUGGAUACUGUCGGGCUAGAGUGCGGAAGAGGCGAGUGGAGUUCCUGGUGUAGCGGUGAAAUGCGCAGAUAUCAGGAGGAACACCUAUUGCGAAGGCAGCUCGCUGGGACGUUACUGACGCUGAGACGCGAAAGCGUGGGGAGCAAACAGG